UACGGGGGAUGCGAGCGUUAUCCGGAUUUAUUGGGUUUAAAGGGUGCGUAGGCGGGAGAGUAAGUCAGCGGUGAAAGACUGUCGCUUAACGAUAGCAUUGCCGUUGAUACUGUUUUCCUUGAGUACAGUUGAGGUGGGCGGAAUGUGUAGUGUAGCGGUGAAAUGCUUAGAUAUUACACAGAACACCGAUCGCGAAGGCAGCUCGCCAAGCUGUAACUGACGCUGAGGCACGAAAGCGUGGGGAU
rnacentral:rRNA from 1 species